rnacentral:rRNA from 1 species
CCUACGGGAUGCAGCAGUGAGGAAUAUUGGUCAAUGGGCGCGAGCCUGAACCAGCCAAGUCGCGUGAGGGCGGACGGCCCUACGGGUUGUAAACCUCUUUUGCCGGGGAGCAACGGGCGUCACGUGUGGCGCCACUGAGAGUACCCGGAGAAAAAGCAUCGGCUAACUCCGUUCCAGCAGCCGCGGUAAUACGGAGGUUGCGAGCGUUAACCGGAUUUAUUGGGUUUAAAGGGUGCGUGGGCGGAUCUUUAAGUCAGUGGUAAAAUUGAGGGGCUAAACCCCUUCCCGCCAUUGAAACUGGCGCUCUUGAGUGGAAGAGAAGUAUGCGGAAUGCGUGGGGUAGCGGUGAAAUGCAUAGAUAUCACGCAGAACCCCGAUUGCGAAGGCAGCAUGCCGGCUUCCGACUGACGCUGAAGCACGAAAGCGUGGGGAUCGAACAGGAUUAGAUACCCGGGUAGUC